rnacentral:lncRNA from 1 species
CGUCGUCGUCCUGCGUUAACUUUUACAAAAAUCUUCUCCUCUGAAACUACUGGGCCAAAUUUAACCAAACUUGGCCAUAAUCAUCAUUGGGGUAUGUAGUUUAAAAAAUGUGUCCGGUGACCCGGCCAACCAACCAAGAUGGCCGCCAUGGCUAAAAAUAGAACAUAGGGGUAAACUGCAGUUUUUGGCUUAUAACUCAAAAACCAAAGCAUUUAGAGCAAAUCUGACAGGGUAAAAUUGUUCAUCAGGUC